CUCAUUUUUCACACGAGACAAUUCAUGUUCUGAGGCUGGAACACAUAUAUAGAAGGACAAACACAUACGUGUUUAAUAUUUCUUUCAUAAUUUUUCACUUUCGUUGAAACUACACAUGGCUGUAUCGGAGGAAGUGAGGUUUCUACCAAAACUAUUUCUGAGGACUUCAAACAAACAAGUUCUUUUAUUCUCUUUCUCCAGGAAAGUUUCAACGAUCUCUUCGUGGACACAAUGACGCCUCUACGUUUCGCUGUUGUCUUCGUCCUCCUCUUUGGUGUGUUUGUCGCCAGUGAAGCUGCACCUGAAGGACACGAGCUUGAACGUCGUCAACUUGAGGUGGAACUCUGCGCUUGUCUUCCGAGUGUUACCGAUUGCCCUACCAAAAGUUGCACAGUGGCGAGCGGAUGUACGAAAUGCGCCGAUGCCUCGCUAUGCCUUUGUAUUGAUGUCACUUGCCCUGGGAAAAGAUGCACAACGGCAAGCAAGUGUAAGACAUGCUCCGUCUAAGGAUAACAACAUGGUUGACCGGCAUCUCUUAACUACGAAAUGAUCAAUUGCACGUAUAUGAAAUAAGAGACCCUGGUCUUUUCUUUUACUAACAUGGUCAUAGGUGGCGGGAACUUUUAAGGGCAAUAAAUUGUACUAAGCAGCA